UUCCGAGUCGAUCCGCACAAAGUAAUGUCACUUUACGGCUGGAGUGUAGUUUCAUUCAAUGGAAGCCAAACCCCUGGCGUUUUCCAAUUGGUGGAUGAUAAUGGAUUUAAUGUAUACAGGUUUGUCGCUGGUCGGCGUCGAAUUCUGCACUGUGGUGUAGAAAUAUUUCAGAAGGCCAUUCAGAAAGGUCUUAAACCGAGUCACCCUAAAAACUUAAUUUCAUUCGGAGAUUCCGACGAUGAGUGCUCUGAUGAUACUCAUUUAUGAUCUAUGUGCUUCCACGAGGUAAACAAAUCUUUUGUGAGUUUGGACAUUUUCAUGAUUCGCCAACGCGAGAUAUUUAAGCCGAUAUUCUUUGUAAUUUAAUUCAAAGUAAAAUCAUAUUUAAAUAGUUUUAUUUUGCAUGUUAAUCAAAAAUCCUCUUGAUUCCUUCUCGGUCUUCAACACGGCUUUGAACUCCAGUAAAGAUUUUAAAUGAACUAUUAUUUGAUAUGUGAAGUUUUGUAAUUGAAAAUGCUAGUAUUCCAUGCGCGAAAAAGAACAGAGACAAAUAAUUCAUAGUAACUAAACACCAAUGCGGAAAUUUUCCAAAUAUUGUGUCACAUUAUCAUAUAAUCUUUACAAAGACAGUAAAAUUUUUUAUUGUCAGUCGUGCCGACCCCAAUGUUCUUCAAGCAUGCGGUUUACUGGUGUUUAUUUUGACUUGGAAGAGUGUUGAAAUAAGUAUGUUUCGUGGCAAAAUUUAAGGUUGUUUUGUACUGGUUUAUUAUACUUAGUGUGGUUUAUACUGAUCUUUAUCAAAUUCUUCUUUAGGCCUUCAAUUUUAGAAGCAGUUUUCCUCAGAUUUCGUAAAAGUUCAUGGGUUGAUUUUCUUUACAAUUAUUUCAGACAGUCUUUUUAACUUUUGUUGAUGAGCGAAAGAUAUUAAGCCGUAAGACUUCGAGUCGUGUUGAAAAGUAGAGAGUACCACUAUAUAUGCUGAGUCUUGAUUCUCGUGCUGCAAUGUGUUGGUUGGCCUGGCACUGAGCACAUGAACUCACCUAGUACCGAUUUAAAAACAGGUUCUGUCUCUAGCAGUCUGAGUACAACCGGCUUUCAAUAUCACAUGGAACUACAGUCAUCACUCCCAAUACGAUUGACAUCCUAUAUAUAGGGAAGGCCUAUUUAACAAGAUUCGACGCUUUUAAUAAUUGUCACUGAACUUUUAAAAUAGUACAGCUUUUUGCAACUUGCAUGAUUCAUUUAUCAGUUCCCACCUCGUCAUUUUUCUGUAAACUUAUCGAUUUUGUUAAUAUGCUCUUGCCAAACACCAUGACGACACAUAACGCUGUCUUGUCAUCAUGAUUGUCUCCUGUUCAGAAACCCCCAUUUUGUCUUUAAUAGACCUGAACAUCCUAAAAUCCCUUCACAAAAAUGCUAUUUCCUAACAUUUUUAGAAAUAAGCCUCCUUUUGCGCUCACAUGAGACAGUCGGGUUUCCAUCAGAUCUUGUCCAGGAACAGAACUUUCCAGGAAUUUACCUUAAGUUCUUAAUACCGAGUUUUCGUUUUUUUUCUUCGUCUAAUGUUUAAGUUUUUAUCUGAAAUAAAACAGAAAGUGAGAUUUUGAUUAAGAAGACUGAACGGUUACUUUGUUACGUUGUCAUUGUUUAAAAUCAUUUUGUGUCAGUGUUGUUGUGAAUUUUGAUUGUAUCAUCACCAGCCCUCUAAAAAACCUAUUUAAUUGAAUGUACUUUUGAUUGUUCUAUGUUCUCAAUUCUCUAGUCGUCCUAAAAGCUCUGUUAACAUUACAUUUUCUAGUAGCUUUAGAAUCUCUAACUCUCCUCCGUCUGUUCCUACUCCUCUGAUUACUUAGUUGUUAAUUUUUAUCCCAUCUAUAUUUUGUGCUGAUAUUAAAUUCCCUUCCCCCGCUGUUUAAUGUUUCUAAUAUAAUUCCACUGACCUUCAUCUUCUUCAGAGAGUGUCCUGAUCCUCACUGCAUUGAUUUUUUUCCUGCAGCCAAUGCUACUGUCUUUGUUUUUACUAAUGUUGUUACUUAUCAAAGUAUUGUAUAUACAUAUAAAUGUAUAGAUAUAUAUCAUUGUCAAUAAGUUUCUUUUACUCUUUCGAAUUGAACAUAUGUUAAUAGCAAAAUCUUCGUAUUGAUAAAAUGAAAACUCUA